rnacentral:misc_RNA from 1 species
GACUUCAAUAUGCAGAAUUCCUAAAUAAAAGUUAGGAAUAUAUGUAUAAUAUAAUCCAUUCCAAAUAUCAUCCCAUCCAUUGUAUUCUGUAGCAUCAGCAUGCUCCAUCAACCAAAAGAACGUCACCGCACUCUAUGCACUUUCUAACGUGGAGGCAUGUGGACAAAAUAUAUUUCAUUGCUAAGCUAACCAUUGGCAUUAAGCAACCGCCCUCCAAGUCAGGCCAAAAGCUUUCAAUCCACCCUCUUCUUGCCACUUGGAAAGUUUAAAGUGAUAAAGAAACGGCGGCCGCCCAUUGG